CCUACGGGAGGCUGCAGUGAGGAAUAUUGGUCAAUGGACGCAAGUCUGAACCAGCCAUGCCGCGUGCAGGAUGACGGCUCUAUGAGUUGUAAACUGCUUUUGUACGGGGGUAAACCCCGAUACGUGUAUCGGGUUGAAAGUAUCGUACGAAUAAGGAUCGGCUAACUCCGUGCCAGCAGCCGCGGUAAUACGGAGGCUCCGAGCGUUAUCCGGAUUUAUUGGGUUUAAAGGGUGCGUAGGCGGUUUGAUAAGUUAGAGGUGAAAUGUCGGGGCUCAACCCCGAAACUGCAUAUAAUACUGUUAGACUAGAGAAUAGUUGCGGUAGGCGGAAUGUAUGGUGUAGCGGUGAAAUGCUUAGAGAUCAUACAGAACACCGAUUGCGAAGGCAGCUUACCGAACUAUAUCUGACGUUGAGGCACGAAAGCGUGGGUAGCAAACAGGAUUAGAUACCCCUGUAGUC
rnacentral:rRNA from 1 species